ACACCCCCACAGUGACACACAUUCUCCAACAAGGCCACACCUACUUCAACAAAUUCGUACCUCCUAAUAGUUUCAUUUAUUGUGCCAAGCAUAUUCAAACCACCACACCUCCCCCGGGAGCUACAAUACCUCUGGAUGAGCAGACUUCCUCUCAGAGCUGUGUGGUUGCUGGUCUCUAGUGUCUCUGGAUACUCUUCCAUUGGGACACUCUCCUGCUUCAAAGCUGUGUACAUCCUAGGCUUCCAAGUCACAGGACACCUUCCCAUCCCAGCAGAAAGGUCAAGGUUUUGGUGUAGUGCUUCGUGUAGACUUUCUCUGUGGCUUGUGCUUCCCCAACUCUGGAGAGAUCGAACUGCUCUAGGACUCUUCCAUCUCCGGCUGGCCUGCAGCAGACUCAUCUUCCAGCUCACCUAUAGCUCAUCAUCCUAUCCACUAGCAACAAUUAGGUCUGCCUGCAGACACCUGAGCAGACACAGGUGAGACCUGAGACCUCAAAAGCAAACAUUCACAGAAAGUAUAUGAUGGGCCAAACCUGGAAACUGGAGGAGAGACAGGAGCAUGUUGUUCUCUGAGAGGCUCCACCCAGCAGCUGACUCAAACAGAUACAGAUACCCACAGCCAAACAGUGGAUGGAGCUUGUGGACUCUUAAGAAGAAUAGGAGGAAGGAUUUCAGGGCCCAAAGGGGAUAGGAACUCCACAAGAAGACUAACAGAGUCAACUCACCUGGACCCUUGGGUCUCUCAGAGUCUGAACCAUCAACCAAAGAACAUAGACAGGCUGCACCUAGGCCUCCCAGAUGUGUAGCAGAUGUGCAGCUUGGUCUUCAUGUGAGUCCUAAAAAAUCUGGAGUAUUAGCUAUCCCAAAAGUUGUUGCUAGUAAGUGAGAUAUGUUCUACUAGCUAAGCUGCCUUGUCUGGCCUCAAAGAGACUUGCAGUGCCAGGGUAGGGGGCAUACACAGGCUCUCCCUCCACUCUGAGAAGAAGGGGAGGGGGAGGGAUUAUGGGAGGAGUUAACUGAAAGGAGGAGCAGUGAACAGGGUGUAAAGUGAGUACGUAAAAAACAGUAAAAUUGAAUAAAAGAUUCCAGUGUAGCUUUCAUCAAUACUCAGCUGGAUCUCCUCAGAAUCUAUGAAGCUGAGAGUCAACCUCUGUGCAGGAUGAAAGUCACCACACAGCCUCUGGAUAAUUUUCAGUUGGCAUAUUGUAUACACUUUUUUAGCUGAUUUCACAUUAUCUAACAACACUCCACAUAGCCCUUGAACAUCAUAAUAUCUAGUUUGCCAGCUAAAUGAUAUAUAGUUCCUAUUGGCCACAGGCUUAUCAUUAUGUGUGAGUUUCUAGAUCAUUCUUUGAGGCCCUAAUGGAUAGUGCCUGAAAACCUAUCACCCACUUCUGGCAUAAUAUUCACAGCAUUUCAUGCAAAGCCUUUGAUCUGUGAUAAAAAAUAAAGUCCAUAGCAGGAUAA
rnacentral:lncRNA from 1 species